AUUGGUACCGGGUGCACACGGACCAACAUUAAUCUUUCACGUGUCCUGAUAAAGACAUAAAACUUUAAAUAAUCUGAAUAAACUGCAGAAACUUACUUUACUUAUAAACCCUAAACGGGCCUAUUACAUGAAAUAUUAUUAAUUAUUGAAAAAGGGACUACGUUCUCGCUAAACUUUGUACUGUAACUGAACUUUUGUUUGUAAUUUUAGGAAUUGUGUAAUAGCUAGAGAAUGCAGCUUGUUACAUACUCCCACUACUGUCGGUGAUAGGCAAUUUCUUUAAUAAAGGGAAGGUUGUUAACGUUGCCGUCUUUGACGUUUUCUUUUAGGUUUAGGAAAGCGCGCACUAGGAAUAAGAAGGUUCGAACCAAAAUUAGUCGUUAGAUUUCCUUGGUCGAACUGAUCAUUCACCAAGUCAUAGGUAUAACUUUGGUUGUAAGACUUGUUUUUCUUUAUAGAUUAUCUAUGGUUUCUUAUUUACGUUUCGUAGGUUAAGGUGUUCACUUCCUAUUGGGCGUAUAUCAUUAAAAAAAAAAAUUUUUUUUGAAAAAAAAAAUUUUUUUUUUAACCCAACUAAAGAUGAACUGUAACACUUUGGGGUAUCCACCCAGUGUUAUAAACAGCUGAGUAGCAUAUUAUAUAGGUACUUUAUAGGUUAGAAAAUGGUAUGUUUGUUUUGGUAAGAUUUGGUAGUUGAAAUGUCUUCGACACGGAUGUCAUAGUGGGUCAGUCAAGAACUGAGACCUGUAGUGAUAUUUUCAACUUUACCUAUACGCUUUUAGCUAUAUUGAGUGGACAAAACUUACCGGAGCGGUAGGUCAGUCUGUGCGUUCACUCCGUUGCAUUUUGCGCAUCCAUGUCGUGUUCCUGCGUUGUGCUAGGACACAGGCACUUUGUUUGCGUUGGGGUAUAUACAUUUCACAAUUGAAAUACAUUUUAAAACAUAGAAAUACCACGUAUGUAUGAUUUCGAUAAAACCGAGCAGUUGUUUAUUUCAGCGGUAGACACUGACGGCUGUCAAUGUCAUUUGGUUUUUUUUGUCCAUGGUUCCGUAACAGAUGGUCGGUCACACUUGUUGUACGGCAAUAAACAUAUACUUGUGGUUCUUUUAUCUUUUUAUAAUUUCCAAUUAUUAAUAAAGUCCGUAUUAUUAGCUUCCCAAAAUGAGUAACUCUUUUUAUUGUUGAUGUUUCGAAUUAUUCCGAGAGUCAAACCGGUCAGUCGUGGUAUCCAUUGAAUUGGGAAGGUUUUCAUUCAUGAGUUUGUCUGUGGUUUCUCGGAUUGGAAUUUUGAUAAAUCAUUGUUCGAUCGAUCUUCGAGAUGUGAAGGAUAUUAGAAAAUCUUUCGGCAAUCAAUCUUAGGGCUCGUCCCAAAAUGUGCAUAAUUUAGCGUCUUAGAGCCUACCUAAAAUGGCGGCUGCUAAUCUUUUCCCUUCAAUUUAACAUAACUUGGUGAGUUUCCACACUUUUUAAAUAUAUAAAGAAGGAAAGGCGGAGGUAGUGUGUCCUUUCGCAAAUGGGUUAAUAUAGUGUUUUAUGUGGAUUUUCCAGCAAAACCUAAUGUAACGUCAACCACCUCUUCGUCUUGCCACGCGGUCUGCAGGCGCCGUCGUUGGUAUAGGAAAUAAUGGACCCGGCAUAAACCCCGGUAAGUCAUUUAAUCGCUUCAUUGCCUUAAUUUAAAUCGCGUUGUGCCUCAGUUUAAAAUAUAAUUUUUCUAUAAAACUAAACGUGUUAAAACAUAAUUUUUUUUAACCUAGAACAUUUUCUUUGUUCUUAGGGUUUUUUCCUGGACCCUGGUUUUUUCCUGGACCCUGGUUUUUUCCUGGACCCUGGUUUUUCUGGACCCUGGUUCUCUAAGGCUGUGCCAUCCGGUGGCAGCGUUCUUCUUGGCAGUGUCCGUGAAGUUAAGACUUUUAUGAAUAUACCUUUAGUUAAAUAUGGAUUCUUUACGCUGAACAGGUAACCUGUAAUCCCUGUGAGCAAUUGCUUACUGCUAAACAUCCCCGGAGGUUGGGGCAUAACUUUUACUUUAGACAGUGUUAUGUUAGGAAGACAAAUUUUGAUAUUGUUGUCCGUAGACACAGAGAUGUCUAUGAUGUAUUUAGUGUAAAUUUCAAGAAAUAGUGGUGUCACUAAGAAGUAUUUAGUAUUACUUAUUUACUAAUAAAUAACUCGUGUUGACCGUAGCGGGUCAUAUAUAUUUAAGGAAUAAAGGUGUGUAUUAAAUAAA